GGCUGGUCCGAUGGCAGUGAGUUAUCAGAGGUUAUUAACAUUAGUGUCACUAAAGUUGGUAUUCAACCCCCCACUGCUAAAUUUGACUGGCUUUAA
rnacentral:Y_RNA from 1 species